GGAGUCGGCUGAGCAGUCGCUGUUCUGGUUUGUGCUGUGUUCUUUUAGGGCGCAAUACGGCCGGGAUGGAGGAAAGUCCGGGCUCCAUAGGGCAGAGUGCCAGGUAACGCCUGGGGGGCGCGAGCCUACGGAAAGUGCCGCAGAAAAUAUACCGCCUAAGCAGUUCGCUGCCGGUAAGGGUGAAAUGGUGCGGUAAGAGCGCACCGCGCGGCUGGUAACA
rnacentral:RNase_P_RNA from 1 species